ACUACCACUGACAGUUAUUUCACAACCACCGAUCUCGGACACGUCCAUUCACCCGUACCUACCGCGAAUUAUUCCAAUUACUCUUUGGAAACUUACACAACUAUCUACUGGUCAGUAUCGGCAUCUUCUCUAAUGCUUGUUUUACUCGCCUGUGUCUGCCUCCAAACUUACGUUUACAGGAAAGGAAAAAAUAAAAUAUAUAAUGGUUUGACGAGGGAGAAAACCAUGGGCAUCAAAACAUCAGUG